UACGUAGGGGGGCAAGCGUUGUCCGGAUUUAUUGGGCGUAAAGAGCUCGUAGGCGGCUCUGUAAGUCGGGUGUGAAACCUCCAGGCUCAACCUGGAGACGCCACCCGAUACUGCUGUGGCUUGAGUCCGGUAGGGGAGCGUGGAAUUCCAGGUGUAGCGGUGAAAUGCGUAGAUAUCAGGAGGAACACCUAUUGCGAAGGCAGCUCGCUGGGACGUUACUGACGCUGAGACGCGAAAGCGUGGGGAGCAAACAGG
rnacentral:rRNA from 1 species